CCUACGGGCGGCUGCAGUGGGGAAUAUUGCACAAUGGGCGCAAGCCUGGUGCAGCCAUGCCGCGUGUGUGAAGAAGGCCUUCGGGUUGUAAAGCACUUUCAGCGGGGAGGAAGGCGGUGAGGUUAAUAACCUCAUCGAUUGACGUUACCCGCAGAAGAAGCACCGGCUAACUCCGUGCCAGCAGCCGCGGUAAUACGGAGGGUGCAAGCGUUAAUCGGAAUUACUGGGCGUAAAGCGCACGCAGGCGGUCUGUCAAGUCGGAUGUGAAAUCCCCGGGCUCAACCUGGGAACUGCAUUCGAAACUGGCAGGCUAGAGUCUUGUAGAGGGGGGUAGAAUUCCAGGUGUAGCGGUGAAAUGCGUAGAGAUCUGGAGGAAUACCGGUGGCGAAGGCGGCCCCCUGGACAAAGACUGACGCUCAGAUGCGAAAGCGUGGGGAGCAAACAGGAUUAGAUACCCCAGUAGUC
rnacentral:rRNA from 1 species